rnacentral:misc_RNA from 1 species
GAGAGAGCCUAAUCUCUCUCUCUUUAUGUUUUAGAGAUCUCGUUAAUGUUUUUUCUUCAUCAUUGUUGAAUUUUUUGCAACUUUAUAGAGAGAAUAUGUAAGGAUUUUGCUUCUGUUCUUUCUUGUAAAGGAAGUUCCAGGGCUGUUGAUCGUGCUAUAUUUCAAGAUCAUCGCCUUUCUGUAAUCUGUAUUGUAAUUUUCUCUUGUUUAUGUGGGUUUUUGUUGUUUUUGAUGUAUAAAGUGAUAAGUUAUGGAGGCAAUUUUUGCACCGUCCUCUUCUGCUGAUCAAUCAGUCUCUUCUCGCAAACAAAUCAGAAACCAAUCAAAGAAAAACACUAGAGGUCUCGUAUCAAGAUCCAGUGAAAACUUGGCUCCCACAAACAA